UGCCAUUAGCCAAUGCGUGGACUCCCAAUUCUUCAAACCUAAAACCUCCAUUCAACACAACUUACUCCACAUCUGUUUGCAAUAACAAAAAAUUACCGAAGGAAGGAAAGAGGACAUCAUCAAUUGCCCCAAAAUUUAGCCGACUUCACCUAAUAAUUCAACGAAAUUAGAGCACUUGGCCUUUUCCGAUUCUCAUAUACCACAAAGAGCAGUUAUCUUGCGUUAAUAAGCUUGUGAAAAAAUGUAUUCCGGCCAAAGAAACAAACGGCCAUAUGCAGAACAUACAAACUAUGACAAGAAUGUAAGAAGACGUAAUAUUUAUGGACAAAUAUUGCCUACUAAAAAAGAGGCAAUGUUACUACAACGCCGCACCAAAGAACUUGAACGGCAAAAAUGGAAUAGUUCCAUAAAAUCGGCAGUUGAUCCAGAUGAAAAAGUAAUGUAUCAAUGUCACCUUAUGAUUCGGAAACAUACUGCACUUAUCAUAAGAGAGCCUUCUUCUGCCGACGUCCAAGUUGGCAGCAACCACGAUGUUAAUACUUUCUCAAGUUCUUUUGAUAAGGGAAACAAUGUCGCUCAUCCGUUUUCUGUUUUUGAAAGAGGAUCAACAUCGCGUGCAUCUAAGGGACAACAAAAUUUCUUCCCCGCUGCCACAGGCAAAGGUCAACAAUGAAAAAACCAAGUUUUUAACUCCGCCUGUGUUUCGGUUACACUACUGCACCACAGCCGGUCCCAAGCCCGAAAAAAGGAGGAGGGUUUACUGUCUAUCUAUGCUUUACAAUUCUAGAAUGAAGGAUGAUUAGUAAAGCAGCAUAUAUUGGAUCUUCCAAAAUCAUUAAGAACAAAAAUAUUGAGGUGGACAAUAUAGUGCGCACGUGAGGCAUUGUCUCAGUAGCAAAAGUUUGUAUUGCAGUAUGUUUUCUUCCGUCAAUCAAUGGUAUUUUAUGCUAGUAUCAAGAUGUGUCUGCUACUAUACAUAUGCUACUGACUGUGAAUGACAUCUGCUGGACAUGUUAUUUUGCUAAAAGUAUUUGGAGGUAUUAUAGUAGCCCUGCAGAACUCUUUUAUAUAACCUUUUGUCAAUAUGAUUAUUUUAGUGUUCAGCUACGUCUAUAAUGCAAAAUACUGUUGAGCUAAUUGUGACACUUGCAGGUAGUGUGCUUCAUGAUCUACAGAUGUUUUCAUCACAAACUGAUUCCUAAAGUUAUGUCAAUGGCUAAUUUAUUUCACUGUUAUUAUAGUUUAUUUUAUUGCUUACUAUAUUCUUCUUGUUAUAUGGUUUCCGCAUAUUAUGACAUCUUGAUCAUUAACAACCUUUCCUAUGUGUUGGAUUCACUUUCACUUAAUGGUAAGUGAAUGUGUUCUACACUGCAAAACAAUUGUCUCUGAUUUUUACAUCAGAUAGCCAUAUUUUCUUCUGUUCUUAUCAUUCUAUAGUUGGAACAAUACAAGUUACUUGACUAAUCCUUAUUUUCCUAAAUUCUGGUAAUAACUGUUGGGUUCAUUUACGCACAGUAGACAGCCGGACUGCCUAAUGUCAGCGAAGCCCAGGAAGAUCAACAAACCAUUCUGAUCUUCAUGCUAACAUAAAAGAACAAAUAAUAGUUCAGUCCUUUUCACAAGGAGAUAUCUCUAUCUACCUUUUUCAGUUUUGCCCGAUGGCAUUACCAGAAAAUUAUAUGCGAGCAAUUUCACUUGAUAUGCAUAUUCCUUGGUAUAAAUUGUGUUUAUGUAAGAUGGUAUUUUUUACUUUUGAGUAGAGACAAAAAAAACAGUAAUUCUCUUUUCGGUUAAGUAAAAUCUGAAGUUAUGUUCGAUGUGCCUUUUUUUUUUAAACUUCUCAUCAUGUAAAUAUAGUUAUUAUAGGUGGUUUUGGAGGAGCACAUGCUGAUAAUUCUGCUUCUGGGUAAACAGUGAGCUGUGACAUAUUUUAAAGUUCUUUCCCAUGGAAGCCCCUCUGAAAAGCUUAUGAUGUAACCUUCAAGGACAGUCUGACGGUAGAUAUACUUUAAAGGUAACACAUUUUUUGAAUCGUCAAACUUGCAACCAUAGAUUGGAUGAAGACCCCAACUUGUACGCAGAAAAUUGAUGAACACCACAAAGUCUUAUAUUAGAUUGAGUUGACCCAGAACCUGUGAAGGUUUGGCUAGCGAAUGAACUAGCUCUUCCAGCAUCGAGUGUUGCUAAUCGUGGAAUCAACCUCCAUCAACAAAUAAAAGCUCCCACUGAAGGGAAAAUAUCGACUUUGUUGAACUUUAUUUCACCGCUCGAUUUUACCACUUGAAAUUAGAGGACAAAACCAAGAACAAGCGGGAAUCACGAUUACCAUCAGGGUAUAUGCGGGCAGUAACAUAGAAAAGGAGGAACUAACUUCUUUUCAGGUUGCCAGAAGGUUAUGCUACUACUGUUUUCAGGUUGCAAGAUACUCAAAAGAUGAAGCAUCGAUAUACCAUCCAUGAAAUCACGCCAUUUACUAGAGAUUGGACUUGUAAAAUACAAGUUGUUGACAAAAUCCGCCCAAAAAUUAGCAGAGAUCACCGGGUGAACUUUCAAACAACCAUCGUCCAGGACGAAAACGAAGACCAAAUCUGCAUCAUAACAUAUGGUCCUGAAGUCGCACAUUAUGACAACCUUUUCAAACAUUUCCACACAUACCUCAUCCCGGCAGCUAAAGUUAGGGAACCGUCACGUUUUGCAAUACCCAUGCACAACUUCGAAUGGGUCCUCGAUACCUUCAGUAUUGUCGAAGAAGUUAUAGAUAACAAUGAAGAAGAAUCAAUGUUACCGUUGCCUUCAAGAUUAAACAUGGUGUCCUUUGCCGAUAUCGAGAAACAGAUUCCAGGAGAUGAAUUCGACCUGGUGGCAGUUGUGGCAAAUUGCGGUACCAUGAAAUAUCAAGGCAGCGAAAACAGAAGAUUUCAAGAGGCUAUUCUUAUAGACGACAAGUAAUACACACUUUAACUACCUCUAACAGCAAAAUAUGUAUUUAACACAGCAUCCUUAAUUUCAUAGGAAAAAUCCUUUUCUGUUUACUAUAUGGGGAGAAUUGGCUGAAAUCCUUUUCUGUUUACUAUAUGGGGAGAAUUGGCUGACAAAGAUGGAACUGAACUACUGCAGCAGCUACAUAGAUACCAUGUCAUUGUUGCAAAAUGAAUAGUUGUUUCUAACUUUAAACAAGGCAGCAAAGUUAAUGAAUUGGUAUGAAACAGGUUUUAUUUGCACAGGAAUAUGUUCCAUUGUUUCAUACCAUAUUACAUCAAAACAAAAUCACAAUAUCUACUAUUACAUCGCGGGGCAAAGGACAACAAGCAGAUGCUAAUUGAAUACACUCUCAAAAGUACAUCAGCAUCGCCUUCGACACUAAAUGUUGCACCUUUUGAAGAUCAAAUACUUUCUAUUUCAAGCAUUCCUUCACAGUCCACUGCGCAAAGUUUUUAUGUUGAAGGAGAAAUAUCAUUACCAAGUGAAUUUCAGUUUUUUUUUCGUACUUCUAUGCUCUUAAUGCCAACAUCUAACACGAAUCAAACACAAAAAGAAAGUUCUCUGUAUCAACUGCAAGCUAGAGAGAAUGUUGAUUCCAAGAUGUGAAUUUGAAGUUGAUGUCACAGACGGGAGCGAAACAAUAACAGUAGUAGUGUCGGACAAACUAGCUGAAACAAUGCUUUCACUGACAGCAGACCAAAUAUAUGAAACUACCAUUGUCCAGGUGCAUAUACUGACAACUCUAGAAUCAUUUUGCGUCACUUCAAAUUAAUUUAAAGUCUUCACUUUACUCAUUUUGUGGUAAAAGUUUCCCCAAAGAAACAAUUGUUACCCGUUGAGCAUAUCAGAGAGCACCUGCUAGACAAGCUAUUCAAAAUUUAUUUACAAAAAUCACUACUCAGAACACCAGAUAGGCCACCUGGUACCUUUGUCAUUUUAUUUUACACUCAGAAACAGACUGUCUUCGACCUGGCACAAUCUUUAACAUCAACUACUAUUGGCGAGGAAAGUAAAAGGAAGGUACAAUCCAUCACUUCUGAAGAAGCAGAUCGCAGUCCAUCGACAGAAGAUGAAAACCCAAGAAAGAAACCUAACGUACAAUGACCAAGUCCUCUGCAAAAAUACUCAAGGUGCCUCGUCAGAUUUGAAGUGCAACAAAGGUCGCCUCAAUGUUAUUUGAUAGGCUAUAGCAGUUGUAAUACUUGCAUUCAAGGAAGAUUUUCGUUGUGUUGUCUACUGCUGUACAAUAUUUCACAUUUUCUAUAAAUAGCUAUGCAAACUAACUCUUACCAAUACAAAUUUUGCUGGUGUUGUUUACUGCAGUUCAAUGUUCCACAUUUUGUGUUUGAAUUAUCUGGCAAAUCCAAGCAGCCCCCAUUAUAUAUGAAUUUAUGUUUUCAA